GAGAGCCUCCACACAACGCCGCGUCUUCGCCACAGGGACUCUACCCUGAGCAAGGGCUACACCUCUGGCGGCCGGAUGUUCCUCCCGCAGCCGGGCGGAAAGGCACCCGAGCGCGUCUAUUUCGACGUCAUUAGGCCGCCCACCCUGGUGGCUAAUGACUUGGAUAGUGGUGGACUGGCCCGCUUUCGCGAGUGGGCUCUGGGUCAGGAAGGUAUGGUCGUGCUGGUCUCGGGAGAGAACCCAGCAGACGCGAUCGAACAGGUAAACAAGGUCAAUUCACACUACGGUAACGAGCUGAAGACUUUCAAGACGUCUGACUUUCCUGCUGCUGCAAAGCGUGUGAUCAAGGGAGCAAGUGUGGUCCGG
rnacentral:lncRNA from 1 species